GUUCUCACUUCUCAAAAACCUUCCUCGCCGCUUCCAAAACCUCACCAGCGACGUUACUCCCCGUUCCGCCCCGAGAGAGAGAGUCGCGGGGACGCAGAGCUUUCGAGCAUGGACCUAGACGACAUGGAUGCGCCGGGCCAUGUUCCGUCUCGGAUCUCAAGAUUCGCGCCGAAAUCCUUCAAACCGAAACCGAAACCGAAACCCGAAUCGAGCUUGAAACCGGAGCCCCAAGAACCCGUUCCAAAACCAGAACCCCUAGAAGUCGAUGCCGCCACUACGACUAAGAAGGAAGAAGAAGAGGCAAUUGGCGCUAAGGCCGAAGCCUCCCUGGCUUCGAAUGGCGCCGUAAAAACGGAGACCGAAGCCAAGGUAGAAUCAAAGGAUGAUGAUCCCAUGGAUGAAGACGACGUCGUUGUUCGUGAAAUUGACGUCUUCUUCAAUUCUCCCAUGGAUGAUGACACUAAGCUUUAUGUUCUGCAAUAUCCACUGAGACCGUCCUGGCGGCCUUACGAAUUGGAUGAUCAAUGCGAAGAGGUUAGGGUAAAACCUGUGAGUGCACAAGUGGAAGUUGAUUUAGCUCUUGAUGUUGAUUCCAAGAAUUAUGACCAAGAUUUUGGUGACCGGCUGAGGAUGACGAAGCAGACUUUGUCAUCAUCAUGGAAGGUGCCACGCACAACUGGCUAUGCUAUUGGUGUUCUGAUGGGUAAUAAGCUACACCUGAAUACAAUUCAUGCAGUUGUGCAGCUCCGGCCAUCAUUGGAACAUCUGAAGUCUGGUGGCUCAAAAAGGAAGAACAACGUUGCAGUCGAUGCAGAAGCUACAGUUAAAUUGGAAGAAUCCGCCGAGGAAAAAUCUGUUGGUCCAUCUAAGAAGCAGAACAAGCGGAUGGAGCCUUCAACUGAGAAGAAAGCGGAAGACGAAGAGCCUUGGGUUCCUCUCAAGUACCAUAGUUCAAAGAGUGAUUUCUCUGCCAGAUAUUUACAAAGAAUGGUGGCACAAAAAAGCUCUCCUAUACAAUUUACGAUGAAUCCGUAUGACUAUGUUGACUCCUUGUGUCCUGGGGCUCCUAACAAUAUUAAACCCAAAGCUCCCUCAAGAAGGUUUUUGCACUCAGUGCCUCUGGAAGAACGCAUCAAGAAACUGCUCUGUGAGGGACCUCCAGUUCACCGAUUCAGAUUUCUGAAACACUUUGCUCCAGAUUACUCCAAUGAAGAAUUUUUGCAAGUCCUUCAGAAGCAUGCUCUACUGGUACAAGGCCUUUGGGCUCCAAAAAGUCCAUUGCUAAUUCCAGAGGGUGGUGAAUCAUCCUUAGCUAGGGAUUAUGUCCUUCUUUUAUUCAGCAAGAAUAUAGUAAUUUCACAAUCAGAUAUCCCAACAAAUCUUAAGAAAACAAUGAAAGUCUUCAUGGAUGCUUUUGCCGUCGAAAGAUCUUCCUCUAAAUUUAAUGGUUGGAAAUGGAAAGAGCCUGCUGAUGCUUCAUUUAUAAAACUCUAUCCAGAAAUUGUUGAUGCACAAAAAGAGAUUUGGAACCAUAUUGAAAGAAAUAUAUAUAGUUGUAUUGGAGGUAAAAAAGGUGGGCCUCGGGAAAAGAAUGCCGUCUCAAAGCCUAUCAUGACUGGUACGCCUGGAAAAACUGUGAGCUCUGAUAAAAGUGUUACAAAAAAUGCAAGUAGAGUAUCCAGUGGGAGGAAGACCAUGUCAGAAGAAACUCGAGAAGCUCUGCCAAGGGUCCUGCCAAAAGUUUUUCAAACUCACAAGGUUUGCAGCUUCCAGCAGAUAUGCCAAGGUCUGCGUCAACUGGCAAUUUCCCAGUCUACUCUUCCAAAGGGAGAUGCUAGAAUUGUAGUUGCUGCUGCUUAUGGAGUUGAUAGUCCAGAAGAAUUGCAGGAAAUCAUAAACCAAGUUGCAAUAAAUAUUAAUGACCUUUAUGUCUUAAAGUCAUCUCCAGAACACCCAGAAUAUGAUCCAUUGAGGGGCAUUGUUAUUGGCCUUCUACGUGCAAGGUCACAUGUUAAAAAGGCUGAAGUCUUUGAAGCUGCGAAGUUGGCUCUUAAGAGGGAUAUCACUAAUAAUGAAUAUAAUAAGGUCAUGAAUGAUAUUUGUGUUUCCAAAGGUUCUGCAUGGGUCUUGAAAAGUGGUGAUGGAGAUUCAAAAUGAUUCUGCCUUCUCAUUACAUUAAUAACAGAAAUUAUUUGAAGGUAGAAAAGGAGAUGCAAGUUAUGAGAGGAUGUUAAAAUUUUGAUCUUAUAUAUUGAAGGAAGUUGUUGAUGUUGAUGAUGCUCAAGCAUGUUCAACAAGCUUUUUUUUCAGCCGCUUCUUCUUCUGUCACUAUAAAUCUGUGCGGAUACUCCGCAGCUUCAUGCUUUCCCUAGUCCUUCCAUGAAAAUGUUUUAGAUGUCAUAGAAAUAUAUAGCUACUGAAAAUCAGAGGAUGAUGAGAUGCACAUUAAGAUUUUUGGCCUUAUGAAGGGGUUCAGCAGCUCAAUUGGAAACAAAGUUUCACUUGUAGCGGGGUUAUGCCUAACUACAUGGACAGAAUCUUACCUUACUGUUUGAUUAUAAGAUUCAUCAAAUUCCCAUUGUUUUCUCAUGGUCUCAUUUUUUUUCCUCUCCUUUUCCCUGUAAUCUUGCAGAAGACUCAAAAGUUUUCAUAUCAAACUACUAUUAAUUGUUGCCAUUUAUAGUAUGAUAUUACUUGGAA